AUUGAACGCUGGCGGCAGGCCUAACACAUGCAAGUCGAGCGGGGUUUUCGGACCUAGCGGCGGACGGGUGAGUAAUGCGUAGGAAGCUGCCCGAUAGAGGGGGAUACCAGUUGGAAACGACUGUUAAUACCGCAUAAUGUCUAAGGACACAAAUGUGGGACCGUCGGGCCACAUGCUAUCGGAUGCGCCUACGUGGGAUUAUCGAGUUGGUGAGGUAAUGGCUCACCAAGGCGACGAGCUAUAGCGGGUAUGAGAGGAUGAUCACCCACACUGGAACUGAGACACGGUCCAGACUCCUACGGGAGGCAGCAGUGGGGAAUAUUGGACAAUGGGCGCAAGCCUGAUCCAGCCAUGCCGCGUGUGUGAAGAAGGCCUUCGGGUUGUAAAGCACUUUCAGCGAGGAGGAAGGGGUGUGUGUUAAUAGUACACACCUUUGACGUUACUCGCAGAAGAAGCACCGGCUAACUCUGUGCCAGCCGCCGCUGUAACAC
rnacentral:rRNA from 1 species